UUAAUGAGGAACCUCCAUACUGCUUUCCACAAUGGUUGAACUAAUUUACAUUCCCACCAGCAUUGUAGGACGGUUCCCCUUUCUCCAGAACCUCACCAACAUUUGUUGUUGUUUGUCUUUUGGAUGGUGGUGAUCCUUACUGGUGUGAGGUGAUAUCUCAUUCUGUUUUUAAUUUGCAUUUCUCUGAUGACAAGCGAUGUGGAACAUCGUUUCAUGUGUCUGUUGGCCAUCCGAAUUUCUUCUUUAGAGAACUGUCUAUUCAGCUCCUCUGCCCAUUUUUUAAUUGGAUUAUUUGAUUUUUGUUUGUUGAGGUGUGUGAGCUCUUUAUAUAUUUUGGAUGUCAACCCUUUAUCGGAUCUGUCAUUUACAAAUAUAUUCUCCCAUUCUGUAGGAUACCUUUUUGUUGUAUUGGUGGUGUCUUUUGCUGUACAGAAGCUUUUCAUUUUGAUGUAGUCCCACUUGUUCAUUUUUGCUUUUGUUUCCCUUGCCCUGGGAGAUAUGUUCAUGAAGAAGUCACUCAUGUUCAUGUCAAAUUUUUUGCCAAUGUUGUUUUCUAAGAGUUUUAUGGUUUAAUGGCUUACAUUCAGGUCUUUUAUCCAUUUCGAAUUUACUUUUGUGUAUGGGUUUAGACAAUGAUCCAAUUUCAUUCUCUUACAUGUAGCUGUACAGUUUUGCCAACACCAGCUGUUGAAGAGGCUGUCAUUUCCCUAUUGUAUGUCCAUGGCUCCUUUAUCAUAUAUUAAUUGACCAUGUAUGUUUGGGUUAAUAUCUGGAGUCUCUAUUCUGUUCCACUGGUCUGUGGGUCUGUUCUUGUGCCAGUACCAAAUUGUCUUGAUUAUGGUGGCUUUGUAGUAGAUCUUGAAGUUGGGAAGCGAGAUCCUUCCUGCUUUAUUCUUCCUUCUCAGGAUUGCUUUGGCUAUUCGGGGUCUUUUGUGGUUACAUAUGAAUUUUAGUGAGACUUUUUUUCAAUGAUUGUUUUAACGGAAAAAAUAUCAAGUAAAUAACAGUACCUUUGGUACAUAGACAUGGCCUUAGGUGUUGAUGGCCCCACCCCAUAUUCCUUCAAGGCACUCACUGCCUACUUCCAGUUUCCCUUACAUACCAGUGACUUCCAGUGCAGGGGUCUUGGGCCGGCACGGGUCAGCCUGGAAGCGCCAAGGUGUUCACAUCCAGAGGGUAGCCACCAUCCAUUUAAGGUCAAGGGCUGGUGGGCAACCAUCCCCGGCCUCCCUGGCCCUUCUGCUGGAUGUCUCCAAAGUGUUUUCAGAGGAGAGGUUAGAAGUCGUUCAGAAGAUCCCAGUGGGAACCAAGCCCAGUUGCCCACCAUGGUAGCCCAUUCAUGAAUGCACCUGCCCUUCCUGUCUUCUUUCUCUACUCUCUCACUACGCUUCCAGGACCACCUCCCACAAAUCCUUGUUUUGGGGCCUACAUUUUGGGAAACUCAAAAUAACACAAAAAGUAGAGGUCAUGUAGGAAUGACUGUAGUUUUUAAACCCUGAGACAGCACAAAACACUAGGUACCUGACACAUAGUACUCAACAAAUGCAAUUGUUGUUACUAUCAUUUUUUUUCUCUAAAUUGUGGUAAAAUGCACAAAACAUGCAAUUUACCAUCUUACCCAUUUUUAAGUGGUUCAGUUCAAUGGCAUUUUAUAUUAAGUACAUGCACAUCGCUGUGUACCCUUCAGCACCAUCCACGUCUGGAACGCUGUUCACCUUGUACACCUGGAACUCUGUCCCCAUUAAAUACUAACUCCUCACCCCCUUCCCCCACCGCAGCACCCAGCAUUCUACUUUCUGUCUUCAUGAAUUUUACUUCCCUAGGUACCACAUGUAAGUAGGACUGAACAGUAUUUGUGCAUUUGUGAAUGGCUUAUUUCACUGAGCAUGAUGUUUUCAAGAUUCAUCCAUGCUGUAACAUGUGUCAGAAUGUCCUUUUUUUAAGGUUGAAAAAUAUUAAUAUUCCAUUGCAUGUAUGAGACACACUAGUUUUUCCAUUCACCCGUCGGUGGACACCUGCAUUGCUUCCGCCUUUUGGCUGCUGUGAACAUGGACGUACACUGUCAUUGUUGCUUUUGAUGGUUAAUUCUUUCAAAGACCCAGGAAUUCCAGUAUGCCAAUGUUCAAACUGAGGGUAUCUUAGGAAUCAUUUCCACAUAAAUCAGAGCAUAGAGGGAUUCUUCAGAAAAACAGACUCCCUAAGCCGAAGAAGGCAGCUUUGCUGGGUGCCCAAAAUAUUGAUCCUUUCUAAAAGGAGUGGUUCUCAACGAGGUGGACAAUUUAGCCUGCUCUCUAGGGGACAUUUGGCAAUGUGCUAUGGAGUCAUUUCUGGUUGUCACGACUGUGGGUGGGCUGCUAAUAGCAUCCAAGGGGUAGAGACAAGGGAUGCUGUUAAUAUCCUAUACUGCACAGGGCACCCUUAUACUACAGAGAAUGAGCUGGCUCCAAAUACCAGUAGUGCCAAGGCUGAGAAAUCAGCCUCAAAAGAGACAUGCUUUCACUCUGCACCAGGCCCGAAAGGCAGCAGCAGAUAGGACCUAAACAGAUGAAAUCCAGGAUCUCAGGAGAGACACAUUGCUGACAGAUAGCAUCACAGGCAGAGCAAAUAGAUGCCAAUAACUAUGAAGGGUCUGGGGUUUUACUCUACUUGCAGGCUGUUUAAACUACCACAAUCGUGGCUGCUGGCAGAAGACAUGAGACUCCAGUCAGAGACAAAGGACUUUAUUACCUGCAGCAUGUCAGCAGAAGGAACCACCUCCCAAGUCCCAUGGGACAAUGCAGAGCUUGUGGUCACGCCCGUUUUUCGACACUGAGCACUGCAACCCACAAUUCCCCGGGAGACUGUCCCAGAGAUUCCGGGAGGGACCCUGAGUCCUUGGCUCUCCCCUCCACACACUGACCUAAGCCAGCAGCAGGGCGGGAGCCGUGGUGGCAUCCGGACCCAGGGAAUCAGACGGGACUCAGAUCCUGCUUCGCAGGUGCCACUGUGUGACCUUAGCAAGUAACUUCCUUGCUGGGGGCCCCCAAGUACUUACCAUACAAGGAGCUAGGCGAAGGCUACACCUCAAUUGCCGCCUCCUCAAGGAAGCCCUCCAUGACUUCCACCCCAGACUUACCAGGUCUCCAGUUGAUGAAACUCGUGUGGCCAUGCAGGGGCAGGCCAGAAGUGAACCAACGCCUUCCCCACCAUGGCCACCGGGAGCAGCCUUCAACCAAUGAAGACAAAUUUGGGUGGGAGCCCGGCUCCCACAUUCCUGCGCUCCUACGCUGAGGAGUGUGCUCUCUGCUGCCCCCGGAGGCCCCUGGUGGGACUGCGCUCCUGUUGGCCAGAGCAGUCACUGGCUUCAUGGAACAGCUUCUACUGCCCUCCUUCCCUUCCCAGUUUCACUUCCCCGCACCCUGCCCGUGUCUCCUUGGAUUACCUCCCAAAUAAAUGACUUGCCCUUGAA